GUGUACGGCCACGCCACCCUGCGCAAGCCAGAUCCCGUCUGACCUCGGAAGCUAAGCAGGUCGGGCCUGGUUAGUAUUUGGAUGGGAGACUACCUAGGAAAACCAGGUGCUGUAGGCG
rnacentral:rRNA from 1 species